ACGCAAACCUCUUCGAUGUUUUAUGAAUUGACGUCUUGUUGAUACUGUUUAAGUAGAAAAGUGAGAAUAGUCAAGGUGUGGAACAGAUCCCUUUGCCAGAUGUAAUUUUUAUAUGUUAACUACGACAGCAGAUUGAAAUGUUGAACAAUGAGAUGAUGCGUCGGGUUGCAAAGGAAUUCCGUUAUUUCCGUUCUCCUUGUAGGUCAAUCCACAGGACUUCAAAAAAUUUAAUUAAAGUCUACGAUUUGUUUGUUUUAUUUGUUUCUGUUGAGUGUAUAAGCUAAAUAAAGGCAAGUCUUUUCUCAA